AACACCACUUUAACAGUAUAAUAGUAUACUAAAACCUAAUAGUAAUUUAUAAAAUUAUAUGAUUUAUGUAUAUUAUAUACAUAAUCAUAUCCAAAAGACAAACGUGAAUUAUAAAUACCUAUUUUAAACACUACUUUAACAAUUUAAUACUAUACUAAAACCUAAUGGUAAUUUAUGAAAUUAUAUGAUUUAUGUAUACUAUAUACACAAUUAUAUCUAAAAGACAAACGUGACAAGUACUACCAAAUAAAAAAAAAAAAACAAACAAAAUUAUUAUGUAAAUAAACUUACUAUUAUGAGAUGUCUCAUAAGAUAAACAAAGUGAGUUGCUAAUGGAAUCGAGAUCCGAAGGAUUUUCUACCUGGUGUCGUGAGUGAUCCGUAGCCAUCACAUAAAUUCGGCCCUCCUUAGUCCAACACUUUCCGACGCCAAAACGUUGUCGUGCUGCAAGAAAUAAGUCAUGCCGUGUCUUUGUGAGAAAUUCUGAUUGCGUAACACCAGUGCCUUUCAACUUAGUUUUAGCAAACCAAACUCUGUCUCGGACGCCGGCAUCAGAGAACUUCACGACAAUCGGCCUGUUCUUAUUGGCUGAGGGUUUGCCAAGUCUGUGUGAAAAUUUGAUACUUGAAGUAGCAAAAUUAGGCAAGUCCAAAUGUGCCGCUAUUAUAGAGGUGACACGAGCAUUGGUGUCUUCAGAUUUUUCUUCCUCAAUCCCAUGCAAAAGUAACAUUUUUCUUCUCCUCUUCAUUUCCAGGUUAUCCAUAUCUCUCGCUAGAAAUUCUACCUGGCGUUGAAGGGUAGAUAAUGCCACCAAGACAAAGUUUUUAAAAAUUUUGAAUUCUGCAGAUAGGGAGGCAGUUGUGGAUGGUGAUGAAGAUCGAUUUAACUCCUGUUGGAACUCACUCAUGCUAGCUUUAAACAUGUUAGCCAUGGUAGACAAAGUAUCCUUAACUGACUCCAUUAUGUUGAGAAGUACGAUAAGUAGAUGACUAGUGAGAAAUUAAAGGAAUCUAUCCAGCUGGUAGGCACUACAAACUAGCAAAGCAUAAAUAUUGUUCAAUUAUAUACUUAAAAUAAAAUAUUUAACUAAAUAAAAUACCGAGAGCAAAA